rnacentral:rRNA from 1 species
UACGUAGGCAGCGAGCGUUGUCGGAAUUACUGGGCGUAAAGGGCGCGUAGGCGGUCCUGUAAGUGGUGUGUGAAAUCCGAUGGCUCAACCAUCGAGCUGCGCUCCAUACUGCAGGACUUGAGUACAGCAGAGGAAAGUGGAAUUCCCGGUGUAGCGGUGAAAAUGCGUAGAUAUCAGCAGGAACACCCGUGGCGAAGGCGGCUUCCUGGAUCACCCCUGACGCUGAGACGCGAAAAGCGUGGGGGAGCGAACGGG